rnacentral:rRNA from 1 species
UACGGGGGGGGCAAGCGUUGUUCGGAAUUACUGGGCGUAAAGGGCUCGUAGGUGGCCAACUAAGUCAGACGUGAAAUCCCUCGGCUUAACCGGGGAACUGCGUCUGAUACUGGACGGCUUGAGUUCGGGAGAGGGAUGCGGAAUUCCAGGUGUAGCGGUGAAAUGCGUAGAUAUCUGGAGGAACACCGGUGGCGAAGGCGGCAUCCUGGACCGACACUGACGCUGAUGAGCGAAAGCCAGGGAGCAAACGGG